rnacentral:rRNA from 1 species
CUCAGGAUGAACGCUGGCGGCGUGCCUAACACAUGCAAGUCGAACGAAGCACUUCAUCGGAGAUUCGUCGAAGAUGGAUUUGACUUAGUGGCGGACGGGUGAGUAAUGUGUGAGCAACCUGCCUUUCAGAGGGGGACAACAGUUGGAAACGACUGCUAAUACCGCAUAAUGUAUUUGGGCGGCAUCGUCUGAAUACCAAAGGAGCAAUCCGCUGAAAGAUGGGCUCACAUCUGAUUAGCUAGUUGGUGGGGUAACGGCUCACCCAAGGCUGCGAUCAGUAGCCGGACUGAGAGGUUGAACGGCCACAUUGGGACUGAGAUACGGCCCAGACUCCUACGGGAGGCAGCAGUGGGGAAUAUUGGGCAAUGGGCGAAAAAGCCUGACCCAGCAACGCCGCGUGAAGGAAGAAGGUCUUCGGAUUGUAAACUUCUUUUAUGAGGGACGAAGGACGUGACGGUACCUCAUGAAUAAGCCACGGCUAACUACGUGCCAGCCGCGGC